AGAGCCCGGUCUGUACGGCAAAUGGGGCAACAUGGCGGCGCGCCCGGGGCUGCCGGGCAACAUGGCGGCGCCCAUAGGGACGCGAGACAAAUAUGGCAGUACAAGACAUAUGGAUCUGGCUCUCUGAACACCCUUACUGUUUUGAAGUAAAAGAGGAAGACUCGCCUCGCUUCUCCAGCCCUGGCUGUGACAGCUUCUUGGGGUGGCUUUUUGCUGGGCCUUAUAAGCAUUAUUUCCAUAUAUCUGCAGGGAAUUUGCCACCUGUCUCAUGCUCUUCUUCCAUCAGCAUCUGGGAACACAAGCAUCAAGCUGGGAGAGCUGUUGAGCCCCUGCUGUCUUCCCAACAUGGAGGUGAAAACCUCUUUUUCCCCCAAAAUGGAAUCAAGACCCCCAGGAGGAAGAUCUCCUGUGAACAGUCUGCUUCCUUUGGAGAAAGCCCCAAGUGAUGAGAAAUCCUGGCCACGAGAGGAGAUGCCCCCUCCUGUCUGCUGUUGCUUGGUCCCAGCGAGCGGCAGUGAUGGAAGGGAAGAAGACCCAAGCUGAUUUCACACCUCUCUGUAUUUUGGGGCAGCGCAAACCAGCAAUUGGUGCCAGCCCAUUUCGGAGAGGGAAGAUCUCUGAACACAGCACCUGAGAUGCUCCGGGACAUCCAAGCCUCUUGUGUUUGCUAAACAACCUGUGGCAGACACUGGAGGUUGGCCCGAAAUGACCAGGGCAGACCUCAAUUUCUAUUCCCCUUCUGGAGAAACCCGUUCCUGCGAUGGCUAUAUAGGGAUCCCCGAGACCUCAGCCCUCCUUCCAACCUCGGCAUUAAAGUCAGCUAAAAUUAGGUGCUGGGAACGUCCUCCCGCUGCCAGCACAGCUGUCGUGCCCCUGUCGGUCCUUCCAGCAAAUCUGGAUACCUUUUUCCCAGGGCACCACGGUCCUAGGACGAACUUGGACUUGCCAAAAAUCUCCAGCAGGGACAGCCCCCACCAUCACGGCCCCGUGAGCAAAACAGCCCCAGCUUGGUUAACUUACAGGAAACCAGCUGCAGGUCCUGGUAGACCAAGCUGUGGGCACUUGGAGGUUGUUCCAGUUGGGAGGCGAACGUGAUGAUGGAGUCAGGGAAAAGGAAUGCAGAUCUUGAAGAACGGGAUGCAAAAAUCACUGUAGCAUGAGCAAUGACCAACACGUGUAUUUGUGCUUUUUUAAUUCGUUU